GCUUAAAGCUUAUCCGCAGCUCAAGAUGGGGAAUAGAGCUUGUUUUUACUAAGAAGAAGUAUGCAUAUGGAAACCUGCAACUUCACUAGCUAUUCUCCUAGUUUUAUCUUUAAAAUUCUAACUUCUUAACUUCACACACUCAUGAAUAUGAUAGUUUGAUAAGAAAAUAUCCUCUUGAUUAGAGAGAUAGCUCAUCUAUUUUAUGUGACAAAAUUUAAAACCGAUUAGUUCAUCGAAUUUGUGACGAGGGAGUAUCAUUUUCAUCGAAAUGAAAUUCGAGGUUCUAACUUGAAAUGCGAGAAUCAACCCCUUAACUUACCCUAGUGAAUUGGAUUAAACAGUUGCUCAUCAUGAAGGAAGGAGUGUUUAGUUUACACAUUAAAAUUCGUCAGCCACCGAUCCACACAAAAGUAAACACUAACAUUUACGGACAUAGCCAACUACCGCAGGACAGCUGACCCCAAAAAGUAAACACGAUUACACGAACAUUCACCGAUAGACCCUUCACAAGAAUCGAAAUGAAAAAAGACGGAGACAUGAUUUAUGUCCGUCUCCCUUAUAAAAUUCAGGGUUUUAGUUACUCGUUCCAAGUUUCUUUCGAUUCAUGGAAAAAUAUCAGGAAUUAUAUUGUAAUAAGGACAUCAGUGUUGCUCAAGAGGUCUAAUUUUUAGGGGUUUGCUGUCAUUUUGGCAGUAAUGGCGGCAGUUUCUUCUAUUUGCUUCUCUAUCUGUACGAAAUGGCAGUGGUGGUACUACUUCAGCAGUUGCUGGUGGCUGUAUUACUAGUGGAGAAGCUCUAAGUAGAAUACUUGCUAAUCUGUACAAGGGAAACCUUAAAGGACAGUGCUGCAUUAGUUCUGCAGAAACAUGUCGAGGAAGAAGCUCGGGUCCUUAUAGGGAGGCUUUUUUUUGUUUCAUGGAUCAGUUGUAUGGUCGUUUCACCAGGCUAUUGGAAAGUACUGAGGUUGCUGAGAAUUUGGGAGCUCUGGGAGCCAUUGAUCAGUUAAUCAAUGUUUAAUUUCAAAUUUGGAGAGAGUGCUUCCCAGGGGUCAAAGUUAUUUAACUAUAUGCGCACCAUGUUAGAGGUUAAAAUUGCAAUGGAUUGGCUUCAUGGUGAAAUAGUAGAAUAUCGUGGUUUUGCAGCUAUCUCAAUUUUGAAAUGUCCAUGUGCCAGAAUUUGUAGAUGUCAUAUGGGUUGCAGUCAGCGAUCCAACCUUGGCUAGUCUUAACGGGCAGUGGAAGCUCUGGGUGCUUGGCUGCUUGCCUUCGGGUGAUUUAGAAGCAUGAGGUAUGUUGGCGUGUGCAACAGGACGUGGGAGCCACCAGCAGUUGUAAAUUACUUCUUUGAAGCAUCUGUUGAACUUAUGCCAUCUAUUGUAUUUGACCAAGUACGUUAAAUAAUUUUCACUUUCUCAUCUUUUCAUUGGAGGUGUUACUGAAUUUUCGAAGCUGCCCAGGCUGGACUGGGAAAGAAUGCUCCAGUUUAUAGCAUACAUGGUUCACUGCUUUCAGUCGGGGAACUUUUAAGGAACUCUAGUGAAUUUAUGAUGUCAAGGUACAGAGAUCUAGCUGAUAUUCUUCUUGUAUACAUGGAGCACAAGCAUAGGCUUGUUCAUCUCAGCACAGCAUCCUUGCUGCCUCAUAUAGCUCACUUUCAACGUGACUGUUUUAUUGCAAACCAUUUGAAGGUUUGUACACUAUUUAUCCACUCUUUUGUGAAGUGGAUCAAUACCAGAAUGGUGUAGGAAUAUGAUGUCGAAAUACAGAGAAGUAGCUGAUAUUCUUCUUGUAAACUGGAGAACAAGGAUUGGCUUGUUUGUUUCAGCAUAACAUCCUUGCUUCCUCGUACAGUUCACUUCCAACGUGGCCUUGUUGCAAACUGCUCAAAGGUUUGUACACUAGUUUCCUGUUCACAAUGUUAUAACUGACCUGAUAUGCAUUGGUUGAUAUCAUGGGGUCUGAGCAACAGAUUUGCAUGAAUCAUAUUCUUGCUUUUCUACGAUUACCAGCUGAACGUGCCAAUGGGUUCAUUGCCCUGGGAGAGAUGGUUGGCGCUUUGGAUGGUGAACUUGUCCACUAUCCGCCGACAAUAGUGUCAUACGUACCUGCGAGAUGCAGUAUGUGUCUAGCCCUUGAUAUAAUUUAUAUUUUAGAAUCCCAUUUGUUGGUUAUAGUAACGUGACAACCAAUGGACUGUAUACUGUAUAAAAUUUUAGAUGUCUCCUUGUGGAGGUAGACCUUAGCUCUAGGCUUUGGCUUGUGUUGGAAGCUUUGCAAAAGCCAUGGGGCCUGCCAUGGAACCCCAUGUUCAAAAUCUUCUAGAUGCAAUAUGUUCUACUGGUCUUUCUUCUACUUUGGUUGAAGCUCUUGAGCAAAUAAUAGUUGGGUAUACUGUCAUUUUCCCUAUU